AAUAAGUGUAGUUUUACACUAUUUAUAUCCAACGUUUAAUCGUCCGUCUUAUUUGAAAAAAUUUUAUGAUUAGUAUUUUUACUGCUAUUUGAUGAUAAAAUAUGAAUAGUACUUUAUGUGUGACUAUUUUUUUAAAUUUUUUAUAAAUUUUUAUUUAUUUAAAUAAAAUAGAUGAUAAAAUAUUGGAUAUAGAUAUAUACGAUUGCGCUUAUU
rnacentral:pre_miRNA from 1 species